AGCAAGUAGUUUAAUUUAAAAUAUUAGUUUUGGAGACUAAAGUUGUAGUUUAUUAUUUUGCUGAA
rnacentral:tRNA from 1 species